AUGUUUUUUCUUUUUAAGCAGUUCAUGUGAAACUAUAAACAGCAUGCUAAUUCUUAGAUUCAUUUUAAGUCUUAAGGUCAGUUCUCUUAAUACCUCUCAGUAUUAUUUGCACAUUCUACUAGUAUCAGAUUUAUUUUGCCAUCUCUUUAAAUUUUAUCAUUUAACAUUUUCUUAUCUCUAGAGAACUAUUAGACAUCCAAUCGAGUGCUAGCAUUUUGGAAUAGCACAGUAUCCAAUGGGUCAUGACCCAGCAAGUACAUCAUGACUUGAGAGAAAAGCCAUAAAAAAAUUUAAUGCUGUUCUUCUGUGGUUUCAAUUGUGGUUUCCUAAGAGACCAGUCAGGACAACUGAGGUUGUACACUGGCUUUUUCUGUAGAUGACUGGUGGGACUUGUGGUAAUAGUGCAGAGGGUAGGAUGAAGUAGGGUGUGUCUCGAGUCCUCAGGAAAAGGCAUCUUCGACUUGAACAGUUGGAACUAAAACUGUCCACUUUGCAUUUGUGCUGGCUCAUAGUGAGGAAAGACAACAGGUCACAGCAAAAAAAAAAAAAAAAAAAAAAAAAAAAACCAAAAAAAAAAACAAAACCAAUGCAUGGAGUAGUAGUAGAAAAACAGUUCUGGGGUCCCCACUAGCUCACAGCCUGGCUGUGCUGUAAUCUUUAAACACUUUCAAGGGCAGAUAUCCUGUGAAUUUUAAGGUUUUACUUGCCCAGUAUGCACCGAAUACCCUAGCCUUUGCUGUUUUUUUUUUUUUUUUAAGUGAAAAGAAUUAGGAUUAUGUGUGUGUUGUGGGUGUGUCUGCUUUCAAUAGGCAAGACUUAUUAUUUCUUGUUACUUUUGCUGGAACUCUGGGGACUUUGGAAGCAGCUGACUAAGUCACCAGCAGGAUUUCUGGGAAGUAUAAUUUUCAACUUUGUUUUCAGAAAAGUCUCUGAAUGGCUACACUUUGGCUAGAAAGUUGACGUUCAUAGCAUCUCUGUGACAGCCAGAGUUUGAGUUCCUUCUCUUGUUAAGACAAGCUGGGAUUUUUCAUUGUUGUAGCAGAUGGGCCUUUCCAGGAAGAUGUUAGAAGCCAGGGAAGACCUAUGUAUGUGUACUGUGGCUGUAAUCCCAGAAUUCAGGAAUACUUGUCAGGGACCCCGUCGCCAAUUUAAAGAUGGCAACCAGCCCUGGUAACCCUAUCCAGAAAUGGCUUGCUUGACCACCCUCUUCUGAGGCCUCCACAUCAACAUGUGUUCAAAGCCUGCUAGCUACAUCCAGAGAGGUGACUGCAAAAGGAGCGGCAAGAGAAGCAGUUUUUAUUUUUUUUUCCACUUGAGAACAAAGGAAAUUACUCCUGUCUUUGUCCCUUUCUUGCCGUCUUUUUAAUAACUAGGUUGAAUUCCUGUAUCUUCUGUCUUUUCCAGGAAGGACAGGUCUCCCCUUUGGAUGGCUUAUAAGGUUUUCAUUGCUUUUUUGAUAAUGUUGUCUUGAAGGAAAACUCUUCCUCUGUGGCACAAGAAUGAAAUUGAAAACUUUCCCGGGUGUAUUUGGGUGAGGGACUGGAAAGGAAAACACAAAAACAAAAC
rnacentral:lncRNA from 1 species